rnacentral:misc_RNA from 1 species
GUCGUAACAAGGUUUCCGUAGGUGAACCUGCGGAAGGAUCACUACCGAACCUGGGGUGUUGGCAGCGUUUGGGCGUGUGUUGCUGUUUCACAGCAGCGCGCGUCUGGUGCAGCCGGCCCUCAACCCAAAACUCCCUUAUAACCACGUGCAUUAUACACUUGGUAUAUGUGAGCCGCCUGCCGCGUUGGCGGUUGCGCUGGGCUAGCAGUUUGCUGCCGGUCCUUUGCAACUCUAAAUGAACGCGGGCCAAAACAAAACACCGCAUCGACUGCUUGUGUAGCUCCCUUUACUGGGCGCCGCGCAGGUGGCCGGCGUGGUACUUAUAACCACACAACCUGUUUUAUAAACGUAUACAUACGGCGUGGGCGGGGCUUCGGCUCUGCGCACUCUAUAUUAACGGUAUAAAACUUUUAGCAAUGGAUAUCUUGGCUAUU